rnacentral:miRNA from 1 species
UUCUUCCUCUCACAACCCUCAGACA